UGGUGCUCGCCUCCAUGGAAUGAUACAGAGAAGAUUAGCGUGGCCCCUGUGCAAGGAUGACAUGCAAAUUUGUGAAGCGUUCCAUAUUUAA
rnacentral:snRNA from 1 species